UGGGGAAUAGUUCAAUGGUAGAAUAACGGACUCUGACUCCGUCGAUCUUAGCUCGAAUCCAGGGACUCCGUCGAUCUUAGCUCGAAUCCAGGUUCCCCAGCCA
rnacentral:tRNA from 1 species